CCUACGGGGUGCAGCAGUGGGGAAUAUUGGGCAAUGGGCGCAAGCCUGACCCAGCAACGCCGCGUGAAGGAAGAAGGCUUUCGGGUUGUAAACUUCUUUUCUCAGGGACGAAGCAAGUGACGGUACCUGAGGAAUAAGCCACGGCUAACUACGUGCCAGCAGCCGCGGUAAUACGUAGGUGGCAAGCGUUAUCCGGAUUUACUGGGUGUAAAGGGCGUGUAGGCGGGAAAGCAAGUCAGAUGUGAAAACCAUGGGCUCAACCUGUGGACUGCAUUUGACACUGUUUUUCUUGAGUACAGGAGAGGCAGGCGGAAUGUAUGGUGUAGCGGUGAAAUGCGUAGAGAUUAGGCGGAAAACCAGUGGCGAAGGCGGUCUGCUGGACAGCAACUGACGCUGAGGCGCGAAAGCGUGGGGAGCAAACAGGAUUAGAUACCCCUGUAGUC
rnacentral:rRNA from 1 species